rnacentral:lncRNA from 1 species
GCUGGAGCCUCCUUCAAAAGGCAUCAUGCACCUUUACAUGCUCCUGGUUUGUGCGCUCUGGAUGUCAGAAAGCCACUCGGCACCGAUGACAGCAGUCACCACAACUUCUGAGAACAAUCUCACGGCGCUCUGUGAUGAGAUUCGGCAGAAUCUCGUUGAUGACACGGAGAUGUACCCGGUAAGCCCGGGUCUCCCUUGACCAUUCUGUCCUGGUGGCCAUUGUGUUUCUGACCAAUUUCUCUUGCUGCCAGGGUUCCUUCACAAGGCCCCAGAACACCAGUGAGGAGCUCUGCUAUGCAGAGUUUACAGAGAUCUUCACCUGCAUCUUGAAGAACCUCACAGAAAUGCUUAUAAAGAAUAAAAAACCCGACCAGCACAUAAACAAAGUUUAUAAAAACAUGGUGAAGCUCCCUCGGAUCUGCCCAAAGCUGGAGCCAACAGACUCACCCAAAAACUGUGCCACUGAGGAAAGUAAUUUCUCCAUGUUCAAGCAAGCCCUAGAGAGUGUGAUCACAUCCAUAGAAGGAUGGACAUCAUGUCAGAAGAUCCAGGGCAGCCUCGGGGACCCUGUCCUCUUCCAGGUUUAGAGCCAUAAGAAACAGGCUGGGGUUGCGGAGGGGAGUUCACUGGCCUUGGGCGAUGGGGUGAUGUCCG